rnacentral:tRNA from 1 species
GCCUUGUUAGCUCAAUGGUAGAGCAAUUGACUCUUAAUCAAUAGGUUGGAGGUUCGAUCCCUCUACAAGGCACCA